rnacentral:lncRNA from 1 species
UUCAGUAUACAUGGCUUACACGAAGGUAAGCAACAUAAACAAGUGAAAGUAAACUAAAGUAUUCAUACAUUGUAUCUUGAUUACUUUAAAUGAAAUACAAAACUUGCAUAAUUAUUACAUUCAUUCUUCCAAUAUAUACAUUUGCCAUCUCUCAAUUGAAUAAUUUAUACUUUAUAACAUACACUUUUCUUUCAUCUCUACCAGAUGAAAUGUACAAGGUAUAUAUAUCUAUACUUAAUGGAUGUCGCUAUCUAUGGCGAGCUGUCUCUGUCACGAUCCUCAACUACCCCGCACUUGAUAGAACCUAC